rnacentral:lncRNA from 1 species
AGAUCAAACCCUACCUGGAGAAUUUCCAGAAGCAACAGCACCCUCAGGAGGCGGCCUGCAGCCGGAGCCCUCUCCAGGGCAGGUGCCUGAGGGCCGCCCAUGGGACAGGCCCGAUUGUACCCACGGUGCAUGUCAUCUGUUCCACUCCUGCUGACUCCGGUGCGUUCCGGGACCACCUUGGGAGGUGAUGCCUGCCCCAGGAAGGAGGCUCUGAUGCAGGAGGAAGCACACGGGAGGCACUCAGAGAACGUUUGUGGAAUGAAUAAAUAAAAGCAUAUUUUGAGGGAAUAAAGAAGCAGAAAAACAAAGAAGAAUCUGGGGAAGAUGGGCAUAAAUCUCCACCAAGUGCUGCCAAGGCUUCCCAGGCGAGGCUGCUGAAAAGACCCUGUGGAGGGGAGCGGCAGGACCUGCCAAGGCCUGGGGGAGCCCGCCAGCCUGCUGAGUUCUACUGUACAAACAGUUGGGGAGGGGGCGCUGUCUCUGUUAACUUGAAAUUCCCCGAUCAGUAAACAUGCCAAUUUAAAGUGUAAUUAACUCAGGCCGGAAAAAAUUCAGAUUUGGACUGCUUUUCACAGUUGAGCGGCUGCUCUGCCUGGGAUAAACACAUUUCAAGAGUCUCAGUCCCCGCUUUGCCACCAUCUCCUCCUCUGAUCUCCUUUCCUGCUUCAAAAGACUCCAGAAUCUUCUCGGUUCUCAGAGAAGGCUGAAUCCACCUAUGACCUAGUGGGAGCACCCUGUGCCGAAACUGUUUACCUUCUGGUCCCCGGAGCCAUGGGUCACGACCUGGGCCUCAUGUAGGCCCGCUCCUCAGCAGACCCCAAUCUGCGGCUUCUCCCACCUCACUGGGGAAGAAGGAGAGCCCUGGGGAUGUGGAGAAGCCACCCCCCACCCCGCCACAUCCCCCACAUCUUACAGAAUCUCGAUUGAAUCCCCGGGGGCACAUCCCUCAGCAGGACAGCAACAGUCUUUGCCGCAGCCUGGGGAGGGCUGUGCUGGGGAUGAGCGCCGAGUGGCCGUGGACUAAGUGAAGGAAAUGACCAUGCUCUUCUCCCAGCUGGAUGGCGAGGCCGGGCAGGAACCGCGGAAUUCCUGCUCUUCGUUUUCAAACACUUUGCUGUCAAGCUAUUUGAAUAAUAAAUACACAUUAUAAAAAUGU